CUUGUAAUUUCGUAAAUAUCAGGAUAUGACUGGGAACAACCUCAUUGAACGCACCUCCAACUUUUAUUACUAGUGGGAAACUAGACUAUCAUCCCUGUGCUCCGAGUUUCCCACUUGCACCUCUCUGACCUAGUUUGUCAACAAAAAAGACAGCAAGCAUGGCGGCAUCUUCAGUAAUUGUUAUUUAUGGUAGGUUUGGUGUGGUCGAUGUGGUUGAAGAAGCUGAGCUGGAGUAGGAGCGUAGGAGGACCCUGUGUUUGGUGGCGACCUCGGUGCGACGUCGAUGGUGCUCCCCCAGGAACUCCUUCAGCUUGGUGGUGGUGAAGGCAACUGGUUGCUGAAUUUAGCAGACAGUACUAGAGGAAGUGCGGGAAUACUGCAGGCUGCCUGAUGACCCCUCAUCUUUGGCUGAGGGGAGGACAGUCUGAGAGGGGGUCUUAUCCUUCCUGCUCCUGCCCAGACCCCACCUGUCCCACCGCGACCGUCUGUCAGUCUCUGGAGCUGUGGAGGACACGACAUAAUGGCAAACAGCUGAGACAGACGAACCUGAGGAGGACCUGAGACCUAGGACCAUGCCUCAGAACUACCUGGCCUGAUGACUCCUGGCUGUCCCCAUCCCCAGUCCACCUGGUUGUGCUGCUGAUCUAGGACCUGCUAUUUUGACCCUCUCUCUCUCCCACCACCUGCUGUCUCGACUUCUGAAUGAUUGGCUAUGAAAAGCCAACUGACAUUUACUCCUGAGUGGGAAUCUGAUGUACCUUGAUGUCAAGAUGAGCAAUGUCUUUCUGGUGAAGGUAGCUGACCCCUUCAAGCACCUGCUGAAUACUGG